GACGAACGCUGGCGGCGUGCUUAACACAUGCAAGUCGAACGGAAAGGCCCUGCUUUUGUGGGGUGCUCGAGUGGCGAACGGGUGAGUAACACGUGAGUAACCUGCCCUUGACUUUGGGAUAACUUCAGGAAACUGGGGCUAAUACCGGAUAGGAGCUCCUGCUGCAUGGUGGGGGUUGGAAAGUUUCGGCGGUUGGGGAUGGACUCGCGGCUUAUCAGCCUGUUGGUGGGGUAGUGGCUUACCAAGGCUUUGACGGGUAGCCGGCCUGAGAGGGUGAUCGGCCACAUUGGGACUGAGAUACGGCCCAGACUCCUACGGGAGGCAGCAGUGGGGAAUAUUGCACAAUGGGCGGAAGCCUGAUGCAGCAACGCCGCGUGCGGGAUGACGGCCUUCGGGUUGUAAACCGCUUUCGCCUGUGACGAAGCGUGAGUGACGGUAAUGGGUAAAGAAGCACCGGCUAACUACGUG
rnacentral:rRNA from 1 species